rnacentral:rRNA from 1 species
UCGGAUUGUAGUCUGNAACCCGACUACAUGAAGCUGGAAUCGCUAGUAAUCGCGGAUCAGAAUGCCGCGGUGAAUACGUUCCCGGGUCUUGUACACACCGCCCGUCACACCAUGGGAGUCGGAAAUGCCCGAAGUCGGUGACCUAACUGAAAGGAAGGAGCCGCCGAAGGCAGGUCUGGUGACUGGGGUGAAGUCGUAACAAGGUACC